rnacentral:lncRNA from 1 species
UAGGCCUGUCAGACUCUGCCUCGACUCUCCCACACCAGUGUCCCGGCUCCCUGCCUGGGAAGCAUGAAUACAGCCGAGGGCUCUCAGCCUCAUUGCCUGCCUCUCCCAGGAUGUUGACUUCCAAGAUGCUUUCUUAAAAACUGUUGUUGACCUUGACCCCUCUUUUACAUGAAUGGAGUGGCCAGCAGCUGCUGACCUGCAGUGUGAUUAUCAGUGUCACGAGGAAACCUCGAGCAACUUGGAAAAGAUCUUUUCUUAUCCCAACCAUCCUUGAAGCAUCAUUUUACUUUGUUUUAGUGGCGGGCAUCAGGACUUCUUGUUCAGGUACUUGGGCAACUCAGACAACAGUAAGUCUCUUUACCAGUCUUUUACAAGUGAAGGUCCUUUGGUAUCAACAGGUUGUUUUGCGGGGCUCAUAUUUGAUUCAGCUUUUGAGAUGUAAUGAUAUGACGGUUGUUGCUUUCUGUAAGUGCUCCCUUCAAUUUUCUAAGAGCUUCCACCCAAAUGAAAAUGACAAUGUUUCCAUAACAACCUGACGGAUGUGUUAACUUGCUAUACAGCUUAUGUGUAUUGUACCUUCAGUAUAUUUCCAGUUCUAUUAAAAACAGAAAAUAAUUUUAAUAGCCAAGGUGCAUUUUUCUUCCUGCUGAUAUUUUCACCUAUUGAGUGGGUUGUGAAUUAGCUGAAUAUUAUCCUUCAGCCUUUAACAGUUGCCUUCUAUUUGUAAGGUAAUAACUGACUAGAUUCCGAAAAGUCCAUGAGGUAUGAAACAAAUGGAUUUAAACAUUGCAGUGUCCCCUACAUCUCUCACCUGAUAUUUUUCCUGGUCUGAUCAUUAUCUAAUUCAGUAACAGACAAAUGAUCAGAGCUGUUUUGUAUGGUUACUCGUGAAUGUAAUUUUGCAUUUCAUUUUUGGCAUGUCGUAAAUAUUUCCUGGCAAUGGAUAUAUGCAUUUCACUCCUGUGAUUUUGGAUUUUUGUUUUUUUGUUUCCUCGUGUUUGAAAUCACUUCC